GUCUUUAUGUAGUAUUUAUAAAGUCUGGCCUGCCCACUGAAUUUUAAUUUAAAGGGCCGCGGUAUUUUGACCGUGCAAAGGUAGCAUAAUCAUUAGUCUUUUAAUUGAAGGCUUGUAUGAAUGGUCGCACAAGAAGCAAUCUGUUUUAGUAGAAUUUAUUGAAUUUAACUUUUAAGUAAAAAGGCUUAAAUAAUUUAAAGUGACGAUAAGACCCUAUAAAACUUAAUAAUUGUAAUUAAAAGAUGAAUUAGUUGUUUAAUCUCUUUUAAGUAAAAUUUAUUUUAUUGGGGCGAUAAAUAUAUAAAUAGUAACUGUUUUUAUUGUUAAAAUGACUAUUGUCAAAUUUAAUUGAUCCUUUAAUAUGGAAUAUAAGAUUAAGUUACUUUAGGGAUAACAGCGUAAUUUUCUUUGAGAGUUCUUAUCUACAAGAAAGAUUGCGACCUCGAUGUUGAAUUAAAAAUUCUUUUAAGUGUAGCAGCUUAAAUAGAAGGUCUGUUCGACCUUUAAAUUUUU
rnacentral:rRNA from 1 species